UACGUAGGUGGCAAGCGUUGUCCGGAUUUACUGGGCGUAAAGAGCGCGCAGGCGGUCGUUCAAGUCGCGUGUGAAAGCCCCCGGCUCAACUGGGGAGGGUCACGCGAUACUGAUCGACUCGAAGGCAGGAGAGGGAUGCAGAAUUCCAGGUGUAGCGGUGAAAUGCGUAGAUAUCAGGAGGAACACCGAUGGCGAAGGCAGGUCUCUGGGCAUUAACUGACGCUGGAGGAGCGGAAAAGCAUGGGGAGCGAACAGG
rnacentral:rRNA from 1 species